rnacentral:rRNA from 1 species
CCUACGGGAGGCAGCAGUGGGGAAUAUUGCACAAUGGGCGAAAGCCUGAUGCAGCAACGCCGCGCGAGUGAUGAAGGCCUUCGGGUUGUAAAGCUCUGUCUUCUGGGACGAUAAUGACGGUACCAGAGGAGGAAGCCACGGCUAACUACGUGCCAGCAGCCGCGGUAAU